UACAGAGGGGGCAAGCGUUGUUCGGAAUUACUGGGCGUAAAGGGCGCGUAGGCGGCCUGCUAAGUCGAACGUGAAAUCCCCGGGCUCAACCCGGGAACUGCGUCCGAUACUGGCAGGCUUGAAUUCGGGAGAGGGAUGCGGAAUUCCAGGUGUAGCGGUGAAAUGCGUAGAUAUCUGGAGGAACACCGGUGGCGAAGGCGGCAUCCUGGACCGAAAUUGACGCUGAGACGCGAAAGCGUGGGGAGCAAACAGG
rnacentral:rRNA from 1 species